rnacentral:lncRNA from 1 species
UCAGCUCUCCCCGUCAACACCAGCCAUCAACCUGAAAAAUAUUUGAAAAUAUUUGGGCUAAGUACUAAUGUACUUAGUGGGCUGCAACUUUUAAAACAUUUCACAAUUCGUAAGAGCAGUUUAUCCAAUCAUUCAUGACAUAACUUAGAAGGUUUUAAAGUAAAGGAACUUCUAAGCAUGUUAAAGCAUUUCAUUUUGUUAGCGCGUUGUUGUCACACUCUGUUCUAUUACUCGCUGUGAUCCCGGACCUUUUAGCCACCGGCGGAUCCCUCAUUCCCAUGACACUUGCCCUGACCUCUCUACUGCUCUGCCCUAUCUACUCUCUGCUCUGCCCCUCGCUCUCUUUAAAGCGCAGCAGCUGUCCUUGGAACCACCGCUGCUGGGCACGAGUCCAGCGCGCCACUGCACGUCGCCAUGGUUCACCGUCGACGGUUGAGUCUUCGCUCGAUCAUCGCCUCGUGGCUCGAACGAACAGGGCCGCGUCCCAUUUUCUAAAGCUAAGUCCUACUCUCUUCUACUUCAGCUUCUAAUUGUUAAGGGGGUAGGGGUUCUCAUGGCUUUGGUUCUAUGUACAGUGGUAAUAUCUCAACGUAUGAAUCAUACUUUUUCCGUGAAAUGUCAUAAAUCAUGUAUUCGCAUAUGUGGGUUGCUAUGAGUCCUAUAGACAUGAAUACAACAGGAAAGUAACUGAUGCUAUUUGUUAUAGAGUAUGUAACUUUGCUAAGUUUAUCAAGCUUAUGGUCAUCUAUCAUUUGAAUCGGAUCAUGCUUAAUGGUAUGAAUGCAAACUGGAUUGAAUAUGUGGGACAGCAGUAAUACCUUGAGAAUAUUUGUGUUGGUUGCCUGUUGUGAUAUUGAUGAUUGAGAUGGGGAAUAACUGAAAUAUGAUGAAGGUGUUAUUGCUUUAAAAUGCAGGUGGAGGUUAUGGCAGGAGGUGGAAACGUUCAAGCCGAAGCUUACCUUGAGGAUUUGGCGGAAGUUGGGCAGCUCUGUCCCUCACGUUAAUGAAGUCUCAAUGAACUGAAACUUGUUCAGGUAUGGCAGCAGGAAGGUCGAGCAGCGGCUGUGAGUGAAAGAGGGAGUCCGUUGGCCGAAGGAAACUCGCCUGCUCUUCCGCGAACUCGUGUGUGAAGAAUGAAGGAAAUGGCGUGUUCUUGGCUGGAGUUGAAGCAAAUAGAAGGAGAUGUUGGCUGCAUACUUGAGUAUGCUAGAGACAAGGUAUAGGGUAGGGUGAAGGUGAUUGGAGAAGUGGGCGGCUG